UACAGAGGUCCCAAGCGUUGUUCGGAUUCACUGGGCGUAAAGGGUGCGUAGGUGGCUUUGCAAGUCUGAUGUGAAAUCUCCGGGCCCAACCCGGAAAUGGCAUCGGAAACUGUGAGGCUUGAGGCUUGGAGGGGGAACCGGAAUUCUCGGUGUAGCAGUGAAAUGCGUAGAGAUCGAGAGGAACACCAGUGGCGAAGGCGAGUUCCUGGACAAGUCCUGACACUGAGGCACGAAAGCUAGGGGAGCAAACAGG
rnacentral:rRNA from 1 species